rnacentral:lncRNA from 1 species
AUGUCUGUGACUGGAGUACAAGGAACAUCCACAACAAUGUCGGGAUGAGGAACAUGAUAUGAAAACUCAGCUAUGGGAAGCUACUUUGUGAUGACGAUUUAUUCGGGUUUAUAGGGCUUUCUGUAUCAAGGUCUGUUAGCAUGAUGCCUAGAGUGGAUGGGCAAUAUGAAUGUACCUAGAGUGGACCAUGUGAAUUUAAUGUAUUUGUCAAUUAAUUUUUGAGAACACAAUGCCAUGGUAGUAUUUGAAUUGUUGC